GACGAACGCUGGCGGCGUGCUUAACACAUGCAAGUCGAACGGAAAGGCCCUGCUUUUGUGGGGUGCUCGAGUGGCGAACGGGUGAGUAACACGUGAGUAACCUGCCCCUGACUUUGGGAUAACUUCAGGAAACUGGGGCUAAUACCGGAUAGGAGCUCCUGCCGCAUGGUGGGCGUUGGAUAGAUUCGGCGGUUGGUGAUGGACUCGCGGCUCAUCAGCUUGUUGGUGGGGUAGUGGCUUACCAAGGCUUGGACGGGUAGCCGGGCUGAUAGGGUAACCUGACACGCUAGGACUGGACUGCGGCCCAGACCCCUACGGGAGGCAACGGAGCGGAAUGGUACACAGGGGGCGGAGGCAUAAUGCGACAACGCCACGUGGGGGAAGAGAUGCAGCGGGUUGUAUACCACAGUUGCUUGAGACGAGGCGUUAGUGACAGUAAUGGGUAAAGAAGCACCGGCUAACUACGUG
rnacentral:rRNA from 1 species